UGUCCCCGCCUCCGGCUCACAACCCCUGUCCACAGGUGCAUAUGCGACUUUACCAAGGCGUUCUCAGCGCCCCUACCCCCGCCUCCGCGUGGACCCUCGUUUGUUGUAUGCAGCAGCCUACAGGCGCAGCGCCCCAGUUUCAAACCGUAGCAGCUCCAGCGAAAUAGAGAGAGGGAGACGCACAGAGUAGCAGAACAUGAAGCGGUUUUUCUCUUCGCUCUACGAGGGCACAGGUAUCAUCAAGGACCCGGGGCAGCGCAGCAUCGCCAGCCGCGUCACUGCUUUGGCUGUGGAGGGGGUGGCUGUCUUCACAGUGCUAGGCACGCUCGGCGUCGACACCUCGCCCCUUAUCGCUGCCGCGGGCGUCACCGGCGCGACGAUCGGUUUUGCGUGCAAAGACUUCGGCGCGAACUUCGUCGCUAGCAUCGCCCUUUCCGGUCAGCGAGCGCUGCGCACGGGCAACAAGGUCUCGAUCGGCGUUGGCCCCAACAUCGUCUCCGGCACCGUUGUAGACUGGGACACGCGCUACAUCUACCUCCGAAACGAGGAAAGGGCCGUAGUGUGCGUACCGAACAAUGUGGUGCUCAACUCUGUCGUCAUGUGGAAGGACCCGGAUACGAGCUCUCCGCUGACAGCGGAGGGUGCGGCUCAGGCAAACGACACCAAGGAUUGGAAUGCAGCCGCCAGCGCAGCUGAGCCGCCCAAGAAGUAGCGCGGUAACCGACUCGGCUUUCACAACCCCCAUUCUCUGUUUCUCUCUCUUUUUUCCGCCACCCCGCUCUGGCAGUGCGCGUGGUGAGGCACGGAUCCACACCCCCAGCAAGAUGUACGACAUCGUCUAUGCACUGCCUCCUCCUCUCUGGUAUUAUCCAUUGCACAGAUGAGAAACUCUCUGCCAGGACCACCAGCAACCCUCACGACGUGCUUAGCGUAGGGGAUACCAGCGCCUCGACCUAUCUUUGUGCCGUGUCCAUCUCAUUUAUUCUGGCCUUUCCCACACCCCUCGCCGUUUUGCGCCUCUUCUCUGCAUCUGCGUUCUGCACGCAUCGACGCGCCCGAUCGCUAAGAGAUACUGUGAAUUAGUGUGACGCUGCCCUCUUCCGUUCGCCGUCGCCUCUCGUUUUCCGUGGCAGAGUCAUGGCGGUGGCUCACUAAGACACAUGCCGUCACAGGAAGGUUGUCGGCUGUAAGCGAGAGACGCGAAAAGAAAACGCCCUCUUCUCUCCACGUUCUGCGGAACCGCUACCCCACCCUCCUGGCCAUGUUUGCAUCCACCAACGCACCUCCCUCACGCAAGUUAGCGCGUGACGCGUGCUCUCGACCUUCCUCCUCUUCUCUCUCCUCUCUGCCCCUGCCGUGCUCUGCUCAUCUCCUUCGUGCAUCGGACGGUUGGUUCUCUAG
rnacentral:misc_RNA from 1 species